GGCCUUUGGCUGACUGGCAUUUGGGUAACGAGAAAGAAUUUGUAAUUUUACCAAAAUAAAGUUUUAAGUACGUGUAAAUAAUGAUAAUAUGUAUAAAAGUCUUGACCAAUUACGUGCCAGCAGUCAGGGUAAUACGUAGGAGACGAGCAUUAUUCAUAUUAAAUAGGUUUAAAGGGUACCCAAACGGUCAAAAUACCUUAAAUAAAGGAGUACUUGACUAGAGUUAUACGUGUGAGAAGACCGUACUUGAGGUGGAGAGAUUAUAUUCUGAAGUAUGUUAUUUAAUUCAUGAUCCCCCAAAAAAAGA
rnacentral:rRNA from 1 species